CCUACGGGUGGCAGCAGUAGGGAAUCUUUCACAAUGGGCGAAAGCCUGAUGGAGCAACGCCGCGUGCAGGAUGAAGGCCUUCGGGUUGUAAACUGCUUUUAUAAGCGAGAAAUAUGAUGGUAACUUAUGAAUAAGGAUCGGCUAACUACGUGCCAGCAGCCGCGGUCAUACGUAGGAUCCGAGCAUUAUCCGGAGUGACUGGGUGUAAAGAGUUGCGUAGGUGGCAUAGUAAGUAGCUAGUGAAAUCUGGUGGCUCAACCAUUCAGACUAUUAGCUAAACUGCUAAGCUCGAGACCGUUAGGGGUAACUGGAAUUUGUAGUGUAGGAGUGAAAUGCGUAGAUAUUAGAAGGAACACCGAUAGCGUAGGCAGGUUACUGGGACGGUUCUGACACUAAGGCACGAAAGCGUAGGGAGCAAACGGGAUUAGAUACCCCUGUAGUC
rnacentral:rRNA from 1 species